UCUUCAGUCCUCUCCCCCGACUCGGGAGUAGGCUUACUUAGCAACCAAACCAUUGUUGAAGUUACCAUAACAAAUCGAAGCUCUUUUCUUUCUCUAUGUAAUACUUGUAUACGUUCAACAUUUCUCUCUCUCUCUCUCUUUCUCCAGUCUUCUUAUGUACCUGUCGAUAUCAUAGCUCUUUUAUAGUGCAGAAUUCUGUCGAAUUGAAGAAACGCAAUCUUUUUGUGGAAAAAUCCGAUUGGUCUCCAGGCUAACAAUUAACUAUGCAAAGCUUGUUGAUUCUAUAUCAACCAAGGGUUUUCGACUAAGCUCUUCUGAAACUAAUUCUCUGCCUUGGCACAGAGUUCGUGGGAUCUUUAAUGCUUGUUCGGCAGGAUUCCGCCCUAAUUUUACUUCUGGUUCGGUAUGUUAAAAAUUUAACUGUGGAUUCUUUAUUUUUAUUCAGAGAAAUAAACUAAUCUACUCAUCGUAGACUGAAGUAUUGGUUAGAAUUUUGUAAUUGUUCGUCCUUCUUUGUUUGUGCUUUAUUGUUCAUAAAUUUUAGAAUAUGAAAAUGAGCAGAAAAUAUGCAUUGGUUAGAUCAAUGAAACAUGUUACUUUAUGUUCUGGACUGAGUGUUAGCAAACCCUAG
rnacentral:lncRNA from 1 species